UACAGAGGGUGCGAGCGUUAAUCGGAAUUACUGGGCGUAAAGCGCGCGUAGGCGGCUUUGCAAGUCGAGUGUGAAAUCCCCAGGCUUAACCUGGGAACUGCAUUCGAGACUGCAUAGCUAGAGUAUGGGAGGGGGAAGUGGAAUUUCAGGUGUAGCGGUGAAAUGCGUAGAUAUCUGAAGGAACAUCAGUGGCGAAAGCGACUUCCUGGACCAAUACUGACGCUCAUGUGCGAAAGCGUGGGGAGCAAACAGG
rnacentral:rRNA from 1 species